rnacentral:rRNA from 1 species
UACAGAGGGUGCGAGCGUUAAUCGGAAUUACUGGGCGUAAAGCGCGCGUAGGCGGCUUUGCAAGUCGGGUGUGAAAUCCCCAGGCUUAACCUGGGAACUGCAUUCGAGACUGCAUUGCUAGAGUAUGGGAGAGGGAAGUGGAAUUUCCGGUGUAGCGGUGAAAUGCGUAGAUAUCGGAAGGAACAUCAGUGGCGAAAGCGGCUUCCUGGCCUGUUCUUGACGCUGAGGCGCGAAAGCUAGGGGAGCAAACGGG